CACGUAGGCACCAAGCGUUGUCCGGAUUUAUUGGGCGUAAAGAGCUCGUAGGCGGUUCGGUUAGUCGGGUGUGAAAACUUUGGGCUCAACCCAAAGCGUGCACUCGAUACUGCCGUGACUAGAGUUCGGUAGGGGAGUGGGGAAUUCCUAGUGUAGCGGUGAAAUGCGCAGAUAUUAGGAGGAACACCGGUGGCGAAGGCGCCACUCUGGGCCGAAACUGACGCUGAGGAGCGAAAGCGUGGGUAGCGAACAGG
rnacentral:rRNA from 1 species